AUUGAACGCUGGCGGCAGGCCUAACACAUGCAAGUCGAACGAGUGGCGGACUGGUGAGUAAUGUCUGGGAAACUGCCUGAUGGAGGGUGAUAACUAAUGGAAACGGUAGCUAAUACCGCAUACCAUCGGAUGUUACAAGAUGGGAUUAACUUGUUGGGGGGUUAACGCCCCACCAAGGAGACGAUCCCUAGCUGGUAUGAGAGGAGGAUCAGACACACUGGAACUGAGACACGGUCCAGACUCCUACGGGAGGCAGCAGUUGGGAAUAUUGGCCAAUGGGCGAAAGCCUGAUCCAGCCAUGCCGCGUGUGUGAAGAAGGACUUCGGAUUGUAAAGCACUUUUAGUUGGGAGGCGUUACCAACAGAAUAAGCACCGGCUAACUUCGUGCCAGCAGCCGCGGUAAUUC
rnacentral:rRNA from 1 species